GACGAACGCUGGCGGCGUGCUUAACACAUGCAAGUCGAGCGGUAAGGCCCUUCGGGUACACGAGCGGCGAACGGGUGAGUAACACGUGGGUGACCUGCCCUCAGCUCUGGGAUAAAGCCCGGGAAACUGGGUCUAAUACCGGAUAUGACCUUCUGUCGCAUGACGGUUGGUGGAAAGUUCUUCGGCUGGGGAUGGGCCCGCGGCCUAUCAGCUUGUGGU
rnacentral:rRNA from 1 species